UACGAAGGGUGCAAACGUUGCUCGGAAUUAUUGGGCGUAAAGCGCACGUAGGCGGCCUUGCAAGUCGGCUGUGAAAUCCCUCGGCUUAACCAAGGAAGUGCAUCCGAAACUGCAGUGCUUGAGUACUUAAGAGGAUCGCGGAAUUCCCGGUGUAGAGGUGAAAUUCGUAGAUAUCGGGAGGAACACCAGUGGCGAAGGCGGCGAGCUGGGAAGAUACUGACGCUGAGGUGCGAAAGCGUGGGGAGCAAACAGG
rnacentral:rRNA from 1 species